rnacentral:rRNA from 1 species
UACGUAGGGUGCGAGCGUUAAUCGGAAUUACUGGGCGUAAAGGGUGCGCAGGCGGUUAUAUAAGGCAGAUGGGAAAUCCCCGGGCUCAACCUGGGAACUGCGUUUGUGACUGUAUGACUAGAGUACGGUAGAGAGGGGUGGAAUUCCUGGUGUAGCAGUGAAAUGCGUAGAUAUCAGGAGGAACACCGGUGGCGAAGGCGGGUCUCUGGGCCGAUACUGACGCUGAGGAGCGAAAGCGUGGGGAGCGAACAGG